rnacentral:lncRNA from 1 species
CUAUGCCCUAGGGCUAGUGGAAGACUUAAGAUGGCGGCGUUUGCACGGAGUGCAAUCACUGCGUCCUUACGGGGGUUGCAAGGCGUCCGAAGUAUGAGUCCACUAACAAAAGUCCAGAAACUCGCCAGUUAAUAGUAUUGUGUCUCUUCAAAAUAUCGGAGAAUAAUUUCUUUCUCGCUGAUCGCCUAACUUCUACUGACGAAGCUUGGAAGUUGCAGAAGAUGGAGUUCGCUCUUGUUGCCCAGGCUGGAAUGCAAUGGCAUGACCUUGGCUCACUGCAACCUCUGCCUCCCCAGUUCAAGUGGUUCUCCUGCCUCAGCCUCCCGAGUAGCUGAGAUUACAGGUACUGGCUCCUGUAUCACCCAGCUCUGGAGUUGAAAGAGCUCUUCAUUCCUGAGUCUCCUGUACCACUGAGAAUAGGCUGGAGUGCAGUGGCGCAAUCUCGGCUCUCUGCAACCUUCACCUCCCGUGUUCAAGUGAUUCUCCUGCCUCAGCCUCCUGAAUACCUGAGAUUACAAGCAUGCACCACCACGCCCGUCUAAUUUUGUAUUUUCACUAGAGACGGGGUUUCUCCAUGUUGG